rnacentral:lncRNA from 1 species
AAAACCUACAAAAUAAUGACAGUCGCUUAAACACGCCUUUUUUCCUGACAAAGGGAACAAUUAACGCAGAACAGGCUUCUAGUGACGUGCUAAGUAAUGCAGUGAACAGGUGAGAAUGAUGUGGGCAGCCUGUGAGCUGCAGGUGGGGUUUGUAUGAAGCAAGCCUUUUCAGGGCAAACAAGCUGCAGCUGAUGGUGUAGGAAGAUGUUUGUUCUAACAUGGAGGGGUCCUACGGAGAAGUCUUUUUUCCUGUUCCAGCAGCAAAACGAUCAAGAAAAUAUCUUGGAAUGGUCCCGCGUUUUCAAAAAGGAAUCUUUUGCUUAUGGAGGUGUUUCUCUGCAGUGCUGCCACUAGAGCUGAAUUUCUGUAAAUUACCUUCUGCAAGAGAAGCAAAUAUUCCCUUCUGGGAAGGAAUAGAAGUGACUAUGUAAAAGGAUUUUCCAAGUCAUCUGAUUAGGAUGAAAUGAGAAGCCAAGCUCUGAGUCAGAAACCAGCCUUUUUACCAAGAAGGAAGAGCCCAGCCCACAUCCUUGAUAGCUUAACUGCCUGUUUGGUAAGCAUCUGUGGAGGGGUUUGGAAUCCAGUUCCCAAAUGGCUUUGGUUAUGGUACAAUGCUGUACCUAACUAAAUAACAUUUUCUUCUUCGUUAUGAUUUAACCUCGUGGACCUGACUACAUCAGGCCUUCCUGUUAAUCCUUACAAAAAGCAGCAGGAAAGGUAGCAAGAGAUGCAUCCGCAUUCUCUAUUAAGCCUGUUUUCCC